rnacentral:rRNA from 1 species
UACGUAGGGGGCAAGCGUUGUCCGGAAUCAUUGGGCGUAAAGCGCGUGUAGGCGGCUAGGUAAGUCUGCUCUGAAAGCCCGGGGCUCAACCCCGGGAGGCGGGUGGAUACUGUCUAGCUCGAGUCCGGAAGAGGAGUGUGGAAUUCCUGGUGUAGCGGUGAAAUGCGUAGAGAUCUGGAAGAACACCAGUGGCGAAGGCGGCUAUCUGGACGGUUCUGACGCUAAGACGCGAAAGCGUGGGGAGCAAACAGG